CAGCCGCCACGGGAAUACGUAGGUGGCAAGCGUUGUCCGGAAUUAUUGGGCGUAAAGGGCUCGCAGGCGGUUUCUUAAGUCUGAUGUGAAAGCCCCCGGCUCAACCGGGGAGGGUCAUUGGAAACUGGGAAACUUGAGUGCAGAAGAGGAGAGUGGAAUUCCACGUGUAGCGGUGAAAUGCGUAGAGAUGUGGAGGAACACCAGUGGCGAAGGCGACUCUCUGGUCUGUAACUGACGCUGAGGAGCGAAAGCGUGGGGAGCGAACAGGAUUAGAUACCAGGGUAGUCCCUGUCUCUUAUAC
rnacentral:rRNA from 1 species